CCUACGGGAGGCAGCAGUGAGGAAUAUUGGUCAAUGGACGAGAGUCUGAACCAGCCAAGUAGCGUGAAGGAUGACUGCCCUAUGGGUUGUAAACUUCUUUUAUAUGGGAAUAAAACGUUCCACGUGUGGGAUUUUGUAUGUACCAUAUGAAUAAGGAUCGGCUAACUCCGUGCCAGCAGCCGCGGUAAUACGGAGGAUCCGAGCGUUAUCCGGAUUUAUUGGGUUUAAAGGGAGCGUAGGUGGAUUGUUAAGUCAGUUGUGAAAGUUUGCGGCUCAACCGUAAAAUUGCAGUUGAUACUGGCAGUCUUGAGUACAGUAGAGGUAGGCGGAAUUCGUGGUGUAGCGGUGAAAUGCUUAGAUAUCACGAAGAACUCCGAUUGCGAAGGCAGUUCACUGGACUGCAACUGACACUGAGGCUCGAAAGUGUGGGUAUCAAACAGGAUUAGAUACCCUGGUAGUC
rnacentral:rRNA from 1 species